GGAGGAGUAGCGAAGUGGCUAAACGCGGCGGUCUGUAAAACCGCUCUCCCUGAGUUCGGUGGUUCGAAUCCACUCUCCUCCACCU
rnacentral:tRNA from 2 species